GGAGCGCGACACUGCGUGACGUGCCUGCUCACCCCGGGAACCGUGGAGCCCUGGACCGCGAGGGCGUGGGCCGAAGCGCUUCGCUUCCCGCGACGUCCUGAAGCCUCGGAGCUGACAGCCCUUCCAGGAGCUGCCACGACCCACCUGGCUCCUCCUCUCCGAGGACACUGAAUGUUUACCAAGAAUGUCAGCACCUGAAGUAGUCAGUCAGUCCUCCAGAUCCACCCAGAAUUCUCAUCAUCCUUCCUCUUUAGGUAUUCAUGAUUCAGCCUCUCUACAACAGUCUCUCCAGCUACCACCCAAACUCCACAGGCCCCAAACUCCAGAGACACCUGGGCUCCAAACACCAUCAGACUGAGCCACCCUAGAUGGACCAGCUCUGCCUUCAGGCAACUCCAGCCACGUGUUUCUUCUCCAUGAUCCCAGCCCCCCCACCCCAUUGUGGACUCCCCCUGGAGCUCCUCCUCAGGCUGCUGCCCCACUAGGUAGCUGCCUUGACACCCUCGCAGCUUCUACUGUUGUUGCAACCACCACACAUUCUUAGUUCAUAGCAACGCACUAGCCCAUGCAGCUGUGCGCUGCUUGUGUUCUCUACCCAGAUGUGCUAAGCAGCAGCAGCCAGUCUCAUGCUCCAUUGUCAUUGUCGACAGAUUUGGUGGGACAAUGGGAAAUUCUGAAAAGGAGAGAAUUAGUUAAAAAAAAAAGAGAGAGAGUUUUUUCCUGUGUUAAAAAAUGGAAAAAACUAUUAUGAAGAAGGGAGUUAAGACUCUGUAUGAUUACAUAAUGGAUGGUUUAAAAUGGAAUAGUUAAAUGAGAGGAUAAUUAACUUAGAUGAAUUUAUGUAAUGUCAAUUAUAAACAUUAUCAGUUUGAUAAUUCUUGUUUUAUCCCCAAAAAAGUUGGUUGAAAUGAGUCUCAAGUUGGUUGAUGUGAGUGACAAGACAUAGGCCUUAGAAAAAGUUACUAGAGAAAAUAAUGUCAUUUUGACUGAUAAGUUAUAAGCCUUAAGAGAUAUUCAGAUGAAAGACAGAGGAAUUUAAAGGAGAAUCGACUUCAGCAUUACAUUAUAAAAUUAGAGAGGAACAGCCCAAGGUUACCAAACAAUCAAAAUUAAUUUGUCCAGUCACCGUACACGAAUCAUUGCCACAUGGCAGGUGUCCCCAAGUCUGUGUUAAUGCUGACUGUAUUCCAAUGGAAAUGUUAGAUUUGAGGAGAUUUAAGGAAGGCAUAGUCUCAUGGUAUGCAUUCACCUUUUGUAAAGCAGAUGUUAAAUUCAUGGUCAACUAGAACAGAUUUGUCUCGCAAGACUGGAAAGACUUGGUUACAGCAGUAUUGGAGCCUGGGCCUCAAUUGCAGUGGAGGACCUGGAGGAAAGAUGAGGCUAGGACCACUGAAUAAUAAAGUAGGGCUAGAGAUAUGGAAACCUCCCAAGACCAACUUCUUGGAGGGGGUGAUUAUGCUGAUGUACAAAGAUAGUCUCUGUAUGAUGACCACACCUUGACUCUAUGCCAUGCAACAGUUUUGAAUGCUUGGGACAGAAAUAGAAAGAGAACUGAGUCAUUUACUAAAGUUAUACAGGGCCUGAAAGAAACUAUCACUGAUUUUUUUUUUUAAACAAAGAUUGACUUAAGAAAUAGAAUGAUACCAAAUUCAGAGGCUAGGCAAAUAACAAUUGAAUCUGUGGCUUUUAAAAAUUCUAAUUCACAGUGCAAAAGGAUAAUUAGUCCUUUAAAGGCAAGAUCAGCACCCAUAGAGGAAUGGAUCCAAGAUACAAUCAGUAUUGAAUCUCAUGCCUAUGAUGAUGCUUGGAUAAGAGAGGUGUUUCCAGAGGCUUGAAGAGACAAAAAAAUGUCAGGUGUUUUAAUUGUGGCAAACAAGGUCACCUAAAAGGGAACUGUAGGCAGGGCUUUCAUAGUUUUUUGUAGGAAUAACCCAAACAGAAGGCCCCUCCCUUCUGGAGUAUGCAGAAGGUGUGGCAAAGGUCAACAUUGGACCAAUGAAUGCAGAUCAACAAGAGGCAGACAGGGUAACCCUUUGCCAUAGGGAAACACCUUGGGAAGGCCUCCCAUAGACUCCCGUGUAAAGGAAACUGCUGCAGUAAGGUUUAUAGCUAGUAACUACCUGCCUACUGGGGUGUGGCCUUAUAAACUAUAGACCCAGAUGCGGAAGCGUUGUCUGUCUGACUGUCUCUCUCUCUCUCUCAUCCCCCUGGUGCCCGCUUGGCUAGAUCAGAUUGUUUGGGAUCCCAUCUCCAUCCGCCAUUCAAGCAAAGAAUCCUGGUUUUGUAAGU